rnacentral:rRNA from 1 species
UAAGGAAUAUUGGUCAAUGGACGAAAGUCUGAACCAGCCAUGCCGCGUGAAGGAUUAAGGUCCUCUGGAUUGUAAACUUCUUUUAUGGGGGACGAAAAAAAUGAAUUCUUUCAUUCUUGACGGUACUCUAUGAAUAAGCACCGGCUAACUCCGUGCCAGCAGCCGCGGUAAUACGGAGGGUGCAAGCGUUAUCCGGAUUCACUGGGUUUAAAGGGUGCGUAGGCGGGUAGGUAAGUCAGCGGUGAAAUCUCGGAGCUUAACUCCGAAACUGCCAUUGAUACUAUCUAUCUUGAAUAUUGUGGAGGUUUGCGGAAUAUGUCAUGUAGCGGUGAAAUGCAUAGAUAUGACAUAGAACACCUAUUGCGAAGGCAGCAGGCUACACAUAUAUUGACGCUGAGGC